GAUGAACGCUGGCGGCGUGCUUAACACAUGCAAGUCGAACGGUGAAGCAGAGCUUGCUCUGUGGAUCAGUGGCGAACGGGUGAGUAACACGUGAGCAAUCUGCCCCUGACUCUGGGAUAAGCGCUGGAAACGGCGUCUAAUACCGGAUACGAGUGGUGACCGCAUGGUCAACUACUGGAAAGAUUUUUCGGUCUGGGAUGAGCUCGCGGCCUAUCAGCUUGUUGGUGAGGUAAUGGCUCACCAAGGCGUCGACGGGUAGCCGGCCUGAGAGGGUGACCGGCCACACUGGGACUGAGACACGGCGCAGACUCCUACGGGAGGCAGCAGUGGGGAAUAUUGCACAAUGGGCGGAAGCCUGAUGCAGCAACGCCGCGUGAGGGAUGACGGCCUUCGGGUUGUAAACCUCUUUUAGCAGGGAAGAAGCGAAAGUGACGGUACCUGCAGAAAAAGCGCCGGCUAACUACGUGCCAGCAGCCGCCGUAAGAC
rnacentral:rRNA from 1 species